rnacentral:rRNA from 1 species
GAUGAACGCUGGCGGCGUGCCUAAUACAUGCAAGUCGAGCGAACGGACGAGAAGCUUGCUUUUCUGAUGUUAGCGGCGGACGGGUGAGUAACACGUGGAUAACCUACCUAUAAGACUGGGAUAACUUCGGGAAACCGGAGCUAAUACCGGAUAAUAUUUUGAACCGCAUGGUUCAAAAGUGAAAGACGGUCUUGCUGUCACUUAUAGAUGGAUCCGCGCUGCAUUAGCUAGUUGGUAAGGUAACGGCUUAACAAGGCAACGAUGCAUAGCCGACCUGAGAGGGUGAUUGGCCACACUGCAACUGAGACACGGUCCAGACUCCUACGGGAGGCAGCAGUAGGGAAUCUUCCGCAAUGGGCGAAAGCCUGACGGAGCAACGCCGCGUGAGUGAUGAAGGUCUUCGGAUCGUAAAACUCUGUUAUUAGGGAAGAACAUAUGUGUAAGUAACUGUGCACAUCUUGACGGUACCUAAUCAGAAAGCCACGGCUAACUACGUG